rnacentral:rRNA from 1 species
GAUGAACGCUGGCGGCGUGCCUAAUACAUGCAAGUCGAGCGAGCAGACGAGGAGCUUGCUCCUUUGACGUUAGCGGCGGACGGGUGAGUAACACGUGGAUAACCUACCUAUAAGACUGGGAUAACUUCGGGAAACCGGAGCUAAUACCGGAUAACAUGUUGAACCGCAUGGUUCAACAGUGAAAGACGGUCUUGCUGUCACUUAUAGAUGGAUCCGCGCCGCAUUAGCUAGUUGGUAAGGUAACGGCUUACCAAGGCAACGAUGCGUAGCCGACCUGAGAGGGUGAUCGGCCACACUGGAACUGAGACACGGUCCAGACUCCUACGGGAGGCAGCAGUAGGGAAUCUUCCGCAAUGGGCGAAAGCCUGACGGAGCGACGCCGCGUGAGUGAAGAAGGUCUUCGGAUCGUAAAACUCUGUUAUUAGGGAAGAACAAAUGUGUAAGUAACUAUGCACGUCUUGACGGUACCCAAUCAGAAAGCCACGGCUAACUACGUG